CAGAGGUGGCAAGCGUUGUUCGGAAUUACUGGGCGUAAAGGGCGCGUAGGCGGCCUUCUAAGUCAGACGUGAAAUCCCCAGGCUUAACUUGGGAACUGCGUCUGAUACUGGGAGGCUUGAAUGCGGGAGAGGGAUGUGGAAUUCCAGGUGUAGCGGUGAAAUGCGUAGAUAUCUGGAGGAGCACCGGUGGCGAAGGCGGCAUCCUGGACCGACAUUGACGCUGAGGCGCGAAAGCCAGGGGAGCAAACGGGAUUAGAUACCCCGGUAGUCCUGGCCCUAAACGAUGAGUGCUUGGUGUGGCGGGUAUCGAUCCCUGCCGUGCCGAAGCUAACGCAUUAAGCACUCCGCCUGGGGAGUACGGUCGCAAGGCUG
rnacentral:rRNA from 1 species